UUUCUGAAGGCUGUGUGCACACGUUCUUGCAGUCGUCAUUCUUCUUACAAAUUCCCGAGUGUGGAAAUCUAUAGUUACAUUUACCUGACAAAAAUAUUUAAAAAUAAAUCAGUUCAUUUUAUUAUAUCAUUCAGUUAUGAAGAAUUAGAGUAAGAAAAGAUAUAUUACUAUAGUAAGUUAGCUAACUGUAAGUUUUUGGUCAAUUACUAAUUAAGGGAAGCAUUUCAGAUUUAAGAGGUUAUAGAAUAUAUUUUAUAUGUAUAUAUCUGUGUUUUCAUUAUCUUAGAUGUAUAUAUUUUUUAUUUUAAUAAAAAGUUUACAAAUAAAAUUAUAAAAAAAUAAAGAAAACUUAAGUGAAUUUUUAGUAAAACUUUAGUAAUUUUUAUUCAAUAAAUUUCAUUACUAAAUAUAUAUAUAAAUUACUUUAAAUAUUUAUUAACGCUAGAUUUUAUUAAAAAUAUUGUAACCAACAAUAUGAUCUGAAAUUUUUUACAGUCACACAAAUCCAACUCCCACUAAUACUCCAUAAAACUAAGACAAUAUUAAUUAAGUUAAAAUUAUACAUAUUUAAAUGUUUAGAAAUGUAACCAAAACUAUUAUCCGAUGUAAAAGCGAUUAAUUAAGUGUCCAAAAUUGUUAGAUUUAUUCAAGUUUAUAUUUCUUUGAUAAUAUAGAAUAUUAAAUUUAAUAAAUGAAAAGCAUAAUAUGUGUGAUGGCAACUCAAGAAGCGAUCUAGGGUUUUGAUGUUCUCUCGGCGAUGGGAUCCCGGAAUCGGUGAGGAGGUUUGGAUUGGAAUAGGAAAUCAUCAAGAUAAGAUUCAUGGAGAUACGGAAAAGAGAUUUCUUUCAGAUCUCAGGCGAUUUGAAGUGAUAAGAGGAAAAUGGGAAUUGGGGACACUAAGGAAAAUCAGGAUAAUAGCGAAGCUGAUCUCGAUUUCGGUCAUCAUCAAGACGAAAUUGCAGGAUAAUAAAGGCACAGACUAAACUAGUAUAUAGUUAUUUUGAUUACAAGGCUGACCAAGUGCUCAGGCAGGAGUGGACAAGCAAGGUAGUGAUUAUGGAAUGGAGAAUAAGGCUACAAAGGUAUGGCAUUCUGGUCUACAGACAGAAGGACGUGACAAUGAUUGAUGACUUAAUGAAGCUAAUGGAUUACAUUCUCUAUGAAGAUCGGGGGUGUGUAAGCUUCAGUGGUUUGGAUCUGUUAUUAUUGGUGAUUUUGGUUGACAGCGGGGCUGUUACGUUUGGAUUUACGGUGGGUACUAAGAAUGUCCUUUUAUACUAUCUUGGUGCGAAUUUUUGUAAUCAUAGUAGUCUAUUGGUAAGUGUGUGUAA